rnacentral:rRNA from 1 species
CACGUAGGGCGCAAGCGUUGUCCGGAAUUAUUGGGCGUAAAGAGCUCGUAGGCGGUCUGUUGCGUCCGCUGUGAAAACUCGGGGCUUAACCCCGAGCCUGCAGUGGAUACGGGCAGACUAGAGGUAGGUAGGGGAGAAUGGAAUUCCCGGUGUAGCGAUGAAAUGCGCAGAUAUCGGGAGGAACACCGGUGGCGAAGGCGGGUCUCUGGGCCUUACCUGACGCCGAGGAGCGAAAGCGUGGGGAGCGAACAGG